AGAGUUUGAUCAUGGCUCAGAUUGAACGCUGGCGGCAUGCUUUACACAUGCAAGUCGAACGGGCUUGGGGGCUUGCUCUCAAGUUAGUGGCGAACGGGUGAGUAAUGCAUCGGAACGUACCGUGUAGUGGGGGAUAACUAUCCGAAAGGAUAGCUAAUACCGCAUACGACCUACGGGUGAAAGCGGGUGCUCGCAAGACCUCGCGCUAUACGAGCGGCCGAUGUCGGAUUAGCUAGUUGGUGAGGUAAAGGCUCACCAAGGCGACGAUCCGUAGCGGGUCUGAGAGGAUGAUCCGCCACACUGGGACUGAGACACGGCCCAGACUCCUACGGGAGGCAGCAGUGGGGAAUUUUGGACAAUGGGCGCAAGCCUGAUCCAGCCAUGCCGCGUGAGUGAAGAAGGCCUUCGGGUUGUAAAGCUCUUUUGUCCGGGAGCAAAUCCUGAUUCCUAAUACGGAUUGGGGCUGAGAGUACCGGAAGAAUAAGGACCGGCUAACUACGUGCCAGCCGCCGCGGUAAUUC
rnacentral:rRNA from 1 species